rnacentral:tRNA from 1 species
GUGUCGGUUGGGCAUUGGCAAGCCUCGGUGAUUGUAAACCACUCGCUUUCGAGCUCUGCAGGUUCAACUCCUGCCCGGCGCAC